rnacentral:rRNA from 1 species
ACAUCCAGCGAACUUGGCAGAGAUGGCCUUGGGUGCCUUCGGGAACGCUGAGACAGGUGCUGCAUGGCUGUCGUCAGCUCGUGUUGUGAAAUGUUGGGUUAAGUCCCGNAACGAGCGCAACCCUUAUCCUUUGUUGCCAGCGAUUCGGUCGGGAACUCAAAGGAGACUGCCGGUGAUAAACCGGAGGAAGGUGGGGAUGACGUCAAGUCAUCAUGGCCCUUACGAGUAGGGCUACACACGUGCUACAAUGGCGCAUACAAAGAGAAGCGACCUCGCGAGAGCAAGCGGACCUCAUAAAGUGCGUCGUAGUCCGGAUCGGAGUCUGCAACUCGACUCCGUGAAGUCGGAAUCGCUAGUAAUCGUGGAUCAGAAUGCCACGGUGAAUACGUUCCCGGGCCUUGUACACACCGCCCGUCACACCAUGGGAGUGGGUUGCAAAAGAAGUAGGUAGCUUAACCUCCGGGAGGGCGCUUACCACUUUGUGAUUCAUGACUGGGGUGAAGUCGUAACAAGGUAAGCGUAGCGAG